UGGCACUGAACCAAUUUUCAGACAUGAGCUUUGCUGAAAUAAAACACAAGUAUCUCUGGUCAGAGCCUCAGAAUUGCUCAGCCACCAAAAGUAACUACCUUCGAGGUACUGGUCCCUACCCACCUUCCGUGGACUGGCGGAAAAAAGGAAAUUUUGUCUCACCUGUGAAAAAUCAGGGUGCCUGCGGCAGUUGCUGGACUUUCUCCACCACCGGGGCCCUGGAGUCUGCGAUCGCCAUCGCAACCGGGAAGAUGCUGUCCUUGGCGGAACAGCAGCUGGUGGACUGCGCCCAGGACUUCAAUAAUCACGGCUGCCAAGGGGGUCUCCCCAGCCAGGCUUUCGAGUACAUCCUGUACAACAAGGGGAUCAUGGGUGAAGACACCUACCCCUACCAGGGCAAGGAUGGUUAUUGCAAGUUCCAACCUGGAAAGGCCAUCGGCUUUGUCAAGGAUGUAGCCAACAUCACAAUCGUGAGUGCCGAUCCCCCUCUGGGAUGGGGAAUGUGUCCUGAUGAGGAGGCCUCUCUCAUGCUGUCGGAUAGCCAGUGGGCCCAGCAAGGCAGCCCUUCUGGCAG
rnacentral:sRNA from 1 species